rnacentral:lncRNA from 1 species
CUGAAGGUAGCCUGCCAGGUGAGUGAGGUAGCAGGCUUGCCGGGAGAGGUGCUGUCGAGGAGGUGUGUGGCACUGUUGAAAAUGGCCUUGAGACAGGAUGUAUGGCUUGGUUUGAUAAGCUGUAGAAAGUCAGCAGCCAGAUUUCAACAACAUAUGUACAGCCUUAGAGUUAUUGUGCUUCCUUCUAACUAUACUGAUAUUCCAAUGGCUGUGAGCAUGAAAGAACAUGGCUUUGUGAUGAAGACCCUUUCCAUGAAUCAGUCAAGCACAUGUAUAUCUUUAAUUAAAG